rnacentral:rRNA from 1 species
UUGCUAGUGGUCGACGAGUGGCGGACGGGUGAGUAACGCGUAGGAAUCUACCUAGUAGUGGGGGAUAGCCAAGGGAAACUUUGGGUAAUACCGCAUACGAUCUAAGGAUGAAAGGGGGCCUCUCUUUGAAGCUCUCGCUAUUAGAUGAGCCUGCGUAAGAUUAGCUUGUUGGUGGGGUAAUGGCCCACCAAGGCGACGAUCUUUAGCUGGUCUGAGAGGAUGAUCAGUCACACUGGAACUGAAACACGGUCCAGACUCCUACGGGAGGCAGCAGUCGGGAAUAUUGGACAAUGGGGGAAACCCUGAUCCAGCCAUGCCGCGUGUGUGAAGAAGGCCCUAGGGUUGUAAAGCACUUUUAGUAGUGAGGAAGGCUCAGUAGUUAAUACCUACUGGGAUUGACGUUAGCUACAGAAAAAGCACCGGCUAAUUUCGUGCCAGCAGCCGCGGUAAUACGAAAGGUGCAAGCGUUAAUCGGAAUUACUGGGCGUAAAGCG